rnacentral:tRNA from 1 species
GGAGGUAUAGCUCAGUGGUAGAGCACAUGCUUAGCAUGCAUGAGGUCCUGGGUUCAAUCCCCAGUACCUCCU